rnacentral:rRNA from 1 species
CAAUCCGCUGACGAGUGGCGCACGGGUGCGUAACGCGUAUAGAACCUACCUUUUACUGGGGGAUAGCCCGGAGAAAUCCGGAUUAAUACCCCAUAGUAAUGUCUCAGGGCAUCCUGAGAUGUUUAAAGCUUCGGCGGUAAAAGAUGGCUAUGCGUCUUAUUAGCUAGUAGGCGAGGUAACGGCUCACCUAGGCAACGAUAAGUAGGGGCCCUGAGAGGGGGAUCCCCCACACUGGUACUGAGACACGGACCAGACUCCUACGGGAGGCAGCAGUGAGGAAUAUUGGACAAUGGUCGAGAGACUGAUCCAGCCAUGCCGCGUGCAGGAAGACGGCCCUAUGGGUUGUAAACUGCUUUUGUACGGGAAGAAUAAUACCCACGUGUGGGUAGAUGACGGUACCGUACGAAUAAGGACCGGCUAACUCCGUGCCAGCAGCCGCGGUAAUACGGAGGGUCCGAGCGUUAUCCGGAAUCAUUGGGUUUAAAGGGUCCGCAGGCGGGCCAGUAAGUCAGGGGUGAAAGUUUGCGGCUUAACCGUAAAAUUGCCUUUGAUACUGCUGGUCUUGAGUUGCGGUGAAGUGGCCGGAAUAUGUGGUGUAGCGGUGAAAUGCAUAGAUAUCACAUAGAACACCGAUUGCGAAGGCAGGUCACUAACCGCCGACUGACGCUGAUGGACGAAAGCGUGGGGAGCGAACGGGAUUAGAUACCCCGGUAGUCCACGCCGUAAACGAUGGACACUAGCUGUCGGGCCUUAUGGUUCGGCGGCCCAGCGAAAGUGAUAAGUGUCCCACCUGGGGAGUACGUCGGCAACGAUGAAACUCAAAGGAAUUGACGGGGGCCCGCACAAGCGGU